rnacentral:ncRNA from 1 species
AUUACCGUCUGUACGGAUCCUUUUCCGAACGACUUUUCGCCCAAAAUAAUUGCCCGGUGAUGAUCCUGCAGCGCUCCGGCAACAAUUUCGGAAGCCGAGGCCGAGCCUUCGUUGAUCAAAACGACAAUAGGCAGGCCGUUUGCAAUAUCCCCGGCUUUUGCCGUAUAUUUUAUAGUAUCGCUCUCAUUGCGGGAACGCGUGGAAACGAUUUCGCCUUUGUCGAGGAAAAGAUCGGAAACGGCAACCGCCUGAUCCAGAAGCCCGCCGGGAUUAUUCCG